ACGCUCGACACCUACGGGAGACAGCAGUGGGGAAUAUUGCACAAUGGGGGAAACCCUGAUGCAGCGACGCCGCGUGGAGGAAGAAGGUCUUCGGAUUGUAAACUCCUGUUGUUGGGGAAAAAGAGGAUGGUACCCAACAAGGAAGUGACGGCUAACUACGUGCCAGCACGCCGACGUAUCUGAGGCGGCGUGACGAGC
rnacentral:rRNA from 1 species